rnacentral:rRNA from 1 species
AACGUAGGUGGCAAGCGUUAUCCGGAUUCACUGGGCGUAAAGCGCACGCAGGCGGCUCGGAAAGUAGGGCAUGAAAUCUUCUGGCUUAACCGGGAGGGGUUGUCCUAAACUAUCGGGCUGGAGGAUGGGAGAGGGAAGUGGAACUGCCGGUGUAGUGGUGAAAUGCGUAGAGAUCGGCAAGAACACCAGUGGCGAAGGCGGCUUCCUGGCCCAUUCCUGACGCUCAGGUGCGAAAGCUAGGGGAGUGAAC